rnacentral:lncRNA from 1 species
CGGCUUUCCUACAUCCCUGGAUUGUUGUGAGGGAAGAACUUCUCACAUAUUAAUCAAUCAAUCAAUGAGCAAGCAUUUAUUAAGCAAUUCAUCUGGCAAGCACUGUGCUGAAUGUGGAGGAUACAAGACACAAAUAUCAAACAGCGGUAUCCUUUGGGGAGAAGCAGUAACAACUGGGGUGAUCAGGGAGGGUCACGUGUUGAAGGUGACAUAGAUUCCUUGAAGUGUGAGCAAGACAUGGUGGCCGCCAUUGAGAAUUAGACCUUUGUGAAUGAGAGACAUUUCCACACGCCACAAAGAUGAAGCCACCAACAUAUUUUUGGGGACCUUUCUGCUGUAGCCUCAAAGUAGGACAUGGCCAC